UACGUAGGUGGCAAGCGUUGUCCGGAUUUAUUGGGCGUAAAGAGCGUGUAGGCGGCUAGAUAGGUCCGUUGUGAAAACUCGAGGCUCAACCUCGAGACGUCGAUGGAAACCAUCUGGCUAGAGUCCGGAAGAGGAGAGUGGAAUUCCUGGUGUAGCGGUGAAAUGCGCAGAUAUCAGGAAGAACACCCGUGGCGAAGGCGGGUCUCUGGACAGUUCCUGACGCUGAGGCACGAAGGUCAGGGGAGCAAACGGG
rnacentral:rRNA from 1 species